CUGAGCAUUGUGGUGAGUGCAAGUGGGAUGCUGUGGCUAUGGAGCUGCAGGAGGGAGUGGGAAUUUCCUUGGGACUUGGACCCUCAGCUCCUCCAAGCCCCGUGUGCUCCGUGCUGGCCGUGUAGCGUGCACUAGGCAUUCAUUUCUUAAGAACAUCAGCCUUUCAAGUCCAUUUUAAUUAUUAUUUGAUCAGUGCAUCUCAAAUCUGAAAAUAUCAGCUGGUAACACCACCUUCUACUGCAAAGCUGCAGACAGAGAAGGAUCAAUGUCCCUUCCAGAGCGCAAUGCCGAGUGUUUAAUCACAAUUAUUCAAUACAGCCAGGACCAGCUCCACUGGGCUGCUUAGCACUGUGUGCCUUGGCUCGGGCUCAGCUGGGCUGUGCUCAGAGACCCCUUUUGCAGAGUUUAAGAUCCAGUGAACACAGAGGGGUCUCCACAGGGUCUUGGGCUGCUGGUAAUGCAGCAAAGCACCCUGCACAGCGUGGAAAAUGCUGGUGAGACCCAAGAAGGAGUUGGAGGUUCCUCCUCUGGUGGGCUUAGUUUCUCUCUCAUCUUUAUUUUUCCCUCCCCCUCUCCUUGAAGCUCUCUGAAACAAGUGCUGUUUUAUUGCAGAUAAUUUACCAGCUGCACAAAGGCUGCCUUGUGCCGCUGAGCUCCAGAUGUUUAACAUUUCACAAAUCCCCCUAAUCAUAAGGUACCUGUUUCACUGGAGGACCAGCUGACCUGGAUGAGGAGAGAAGCUGCCUUCCAGCCUUUCCCUUCCCUUUCACAGGCAGCUGCCAGCAGAUCCUAGUUCUCGAGAGAGCAGAUAAUAGCGGGUGCAUCGUAGGGGACUUGGAGUCACAGUUCAUGCUGCUGUGGUUUGGGGCACAGUGGCUGUGGAGUGGGACCAGUGUGGCUUUGCCUGAGAUGUGCUCGACAGGAGAAAUUUCAGAGGCUGUUGCCUUUCACUAAAUCCUUUUGCAGAGUCUCUCCGCAGUGGAUCAGCCUCCGAUGGCUCUGUUGGAAGGUGCCUACAGGUAAGGCAGGUAGGAAUAUCUGUUUCCUAGCUGUGACCCCUGCUCGUGGAGAAUGGGCAUCUCCAGGAUGGGUGAUGCUGCCUCAGCAAAAACAGGUGCCCCAGAGAAAAGAGCUGGAAGAGUUUAGACCAGGGAUCCAGGGAUUUUGCUGGCUGUGGGGACAGUGGUCUGCAGGUCUUGGUUGUCUGCAGCAGCUCUGGCACAGGCUCAGGUGUCCAGCUGCUCCGCAGCUCUGUUCUGCGCAGUGAGAGCAUGCCCCUGUCCCGAGGCUGUGCGAGGAUCCCCGCGCCACUGCCCUCACCGAGCUGCCACACCGCUGGAGGUGCUGGGCUCCUCCACAAAAAGGUGGCCCCAGGUCCCCACUCUCAGCUAGGGACCCGCUCCUGCAGAGUCCUCAGGGCUGUGGUCCUGUGGGAGAUCAGUUCCCUGGCUCUGCUCCAUCCCCACCCCAUUCCUUUGACUCCAAUCCCUUAAUUGUUUCAAAAAAAAAAAAAAAGCACAUGGCAAAAGGCAGGGAGAUAAUUAUAGUCCCUUGCCCCCCCUUAUCUCUGGGGAGAGCAUGUUGGGCAAAUAGAAAACAGAGAAUUAAUUCUGGUGGUGGCUGGGGCUCCGUGGACCAGGCUCUGAACGGCAGGUAGGGCUGAUUUACUGCCGUUGUUCACAGCUAUAUUCAGCAUUUUAUUGCAACUAUAAUUAUUGUUCUCUGUCAGGAUCUCAGGGAGACAUCGGGCCAGCACCAGGCAUUCCCUGUUCCUCUGGGCUGAGGGCUGGGCAAGCAGGACUGUCCCUGGCAUGUCCCACCCUGGCUGAGGAGGGCAGAUGAUGCUACUCAGUGUCCCCAGGCAUUUGGGGGCAUGGAAUCACAGAAUAGUGGGGGUUGGAAGCAACCUGAGGAGAUCCUUCAGUCCGACCGCCCUGCUAAAGCAGGGUCACCCAGAGCAGGUUGCACAAGAAGGCAUCCAGGUGGGAUUGGAUCUCUCUGGAGAAGGAGAUUCCACAGCCUCUCGGAGCAGCCUGUUGCGGUGCUCUGUCACCCUCAGAGUAAAGGUUUUUCUUGUGUUGAGGUGGAACUUCCUCUGCUCCAGUUUGUACCUCUUGCCCCUUGUCCUGUCUCUCAGCACCACUGAAGAGUCUGGCCCCAUCUUCCUGACCCCCACCCUUUAGAUAUUCAUCAGCAUUGAUGGAAUCCCUUCUGUCUUCUCUUUUCUAGGCUAAAUAGACCUAGGUCUUUUGACCUUUCCUCCAGAAAGAGGUCCCCUCAUCAUCUCUAUGGCCUCCAUUGGACUCUCUCCAGUUGUUCCAUAUCUUUCCUGAGCUGAGGAGCCCAGCACUGGACACAGGACUCCAGGAUGCCGGGGUGAGGAGGAGAUUGCCCAUGUGCUGUGGAGGAGAGCAGAACAGCCCCUCUUGCUCACUUGUCCUGGAAAAUUUCUGUGGUUUCACUUCAGCAACGCUCCUGAGCUUAUGAAGAGAAAUCCUGACCUGGUGCAGGUGGGAAAACGCUGGAUCUGGGUUCCUGUCGCCGUGCAGCCGAUGGAGUGGGACAUUGCCCACCUGGAGCCAAGCCUGGUGGCCAGCUGGGUGAAGGGUGUGCAGGAUCAUCCCUCUCCCCUGCCCAACAUCCAGUCCUCCCUUUGGCAGAGGGGCUGUGCCUGGAGAGGGCACUGGGCACAGUGGCAUUGGCCACCUGCUUUGUGCUUGGUGUCCCUCUUAGGGCAUUUCCCUGCACUGUACAAACCUCUGGAUGCAGUUAAAAGCACGUGGUUUCACAGAGCAGCAGGGAAUUGUGUGGGACAAGACCCCAUCCUGUGAGGACGUGGGGGUGACUUUGCCUGGCCCAAGCGAGCUUGCAAGAAUGAGCCUUAAAUUAGCUCCUAAGUCAACAGCACAGUUAAUUGCUCAUUCAUUCCACUGAUGGGUUAAUAAUUAA